CCUACGGGAGGCAGCAGUGAGGAAUAUUGGUCAAUGGGCGAGAGCCUGAACCAGCCAAGUCGCGUGAGGGAAGACUGUCCUAUGGAUUGUAAACCUCUUUUGUCUGGGCACAAAACGCGGUACGUGUACCGCAUCGAGAGUACCCGGAGAAAAAGCAUCGGCUAACUCCGUGCCAGCAGCCGCGGUAAUACGGAGGAUGCGAGCGUUAUCCGGAUUUAUUGGGUUUAAAGGGUGCGCAGGGGGCGAGUUACGUCGGCGGGAAAAUUUCGGGGCUAAACGCCGACGAGCCGUUGAAAAUGGCUUGCUAGAGUGGGCGAGAAGUAUGCGGAAUGCGUGGUGUAGCGGUGAAAUGCAUAGAUAUCACGCAGAACUCCGAUUGCGAAGGCAGCAUACCGGCGCCCAACUGACGCUCAGGCACGAAAGCGUGGGUAUCGAACAGGAUUAGAUACCCUUGUAGUC
rnacentral:rRNA from 1 species